UACCCGAAAAAAAAAAAAAAAAACAGAUUUGUAUGGAGUUGGAACGUUUGCCUACGUUUGCAGCUAGGGGCGCUGUUCCAACUGCAUACAAAUUAGAGUUAACUUUUACGCUAUCGA
rnacentral:pre_miRNA from 9 species